ensembl:lncRNA
CCUCAAAAGGCCUGGGAAUGUAUUGCCUUCAAAAACAUCCCCAGACCCUUCCUGAGAUUAGUCCCACUCAAACCUGACUCGCACCCAAGCUCACUUUCACACUCCAGAGCUUUGCUUCUCGUUGCUGUGACUGCACACGUCAUCUUGUCUGCAAAGCAAGGAUGUAUGAGCAGGGAAGAGGUAGAAACCAGCUCUUCCAGUAAAAAGCCACUCUAGUCACAAACCCAGUGAUGCCAGAUGCAAGACAAGUUGUCAGACACCGAGCUGAGUCACAAUGGCAAUUAGAACUCAUGUCUGCACCUCUCGGCACUGGCAGGUGUCACCUCCUGGGCAGUUUGAACGCAGCACUGCAGAUAGGGCUGAGUCAUCCCGCUCGCCGCAUCACACAGAGACCUGUCCGCUGACAUUGCUCGUGUGGAUGUGUCCGACCACACCAAGUCACCACACACGGAGCUCCUGGCCUCCUGGACUCCUGUCAGCUCACCCCUCACCUGAUGUGCUACUGCCCUCCACUAGUGGAUGCCAAGGGCUAAUCCACAACGGGAGGGGAUGGGUUGAUGGUUAGACUAGGUGAUCUUAGUGGUCUUUUCCAACCUCAAUGGUAAGAAUCAUAGAAAGACUCGUGUUUGGUUGCUCUGUUUUACAAGAAAAGAUCAUUCUUUAACAGUGCUUGAAAUAUCUGCCGCUAGGACUUCACAAACACUCCCACAGCAACACAGCUCCCAUGCUCCAUAACACACUUCUGAGCGUUCCCUUCAACUAAAGCUGCAGAGACACCAGCUUGUUAAUUAUACCGAGAUAAAGAGGAAAUAUGGCAAUUAAGCUCCCAUUUUUUGCAUGUGUCCCUGGUAGGCUUUUGAUAACGCUGUCUGCUGCCUCAAGGCAACAUUCUCCCACAUGAGGUUUCCUGGAAACCCGCUGCUAUGACUAAGGCUUCCACCACUGCUGUGUGUUCAUGGGCUUACACCGGGAGGUUCAACAGUGACUGUAGCAUCAGAAGUUUUGUUCAAGAGAUUAAUAACCCUUGGGAAGCAGCUGGCACAUGCCACUGGUGGUGACAAGGCACAGCAAAAAAAACCCCACGUUUCUCAUCCCUACCACGUGCUUCCCAGGUUUCUCCAGCAGGAAGAGAGCAAUAGAAGAUAAACUCUGAGCCCUUUGUCUGAAUGGAGGGAAAAAUGUGCUUUAAUUAAAAGGAUUUGGAAACAUCAACCGCAAUGAUCAGGAGGUGGAUUUAUUAUUUUCUAAAGAUCAGGAGGAGGAGGAUGGAGGAAGUUGAAGUAGAGAUAAAAGCCUUAUUGCACAAAAUGGCCAUUGAGGGCCCUAAAAAGGCCAAAGCCAUCAAGAGACUUGGUUUUCAUUAUACCCCCGUAGUCACCAUAAAAGGAGAGGGCACUCCACCACCUCAAAAUAAAAAUGAGUGUUGUUCUGUAUUAACUGUCCAGAGAUACUCAGUGCUUUGAGGCUUCAUACUGCUCAGUAUUUAAGUGGCAUUAGAAAAGGAAAAUUAAGACAUGAAGGAGAGGCGAAGACGUACCCUUGUGGGCUAUACACAGCACACCUUGGGGAGAGCAGGCAGAUAAAGAUCAUCACAUCCAUUCAACCUCGUAUAAGCAUUUGCUCUAUCAAGGAGAACCAAUUAGCAAUGGGAAAAAAAUAACAGGUCUUCCUGUUCAGAUGUCUGUAAAAGGAGGUUUGUUACAAAUGGGAUUUGCUGGGUGAAUUUCAGCUGUUGCAGUCUGACAGGCACAUGCCUCAUCCAUCACCUUCGUCAGUGCUACCCAGGCUGCUCAUCCACCAGGUUUGGUGCUCUGUGCUCGCUCUAAUGCAGCAGCACUUCAAAGCCCCCUGCUGCAAACAGGGCCCUGCUGUACAUAGCACUGUAUAACCUGAACCAAGAAAUACUCCUUGUUCCACCAGCAGCAGCCAAAUGGGCAGGAUGGACAAUGGCAGGAAGAAAAGCAGCAUGAUCUCCACUUACUGCACAAGAAGCUGAG